GACUAAAACCAUGAGCCAAAGUAAAUCUCUCCUCCUUGAAGUCAUGGGUGUUGGUACAGUGUCUCAGUAAUGGGAAACCCAGCCCUAAGAGCAGGAUGCUAACUGUUUCCUCAUGUUUGACUCUGGAUAUGCUGAACUUUGUUUAUAGUUGCAAGUCAAUCUUCAGAGAGUGUUAGUAUAACCCCUGUCCCUGUAACUCCUGUCUGAAAGUCUCUUGAAUAGGAUUUAUGUUUCUCUGGUGCUUAAGGUCAGUAAGUGUGCCCCCAGCUACUCCGAGUUCCCAAAGCCACAAAACACUUGCUAUCAAAUUGAGUACAUCCACUGACUAUUGAAAUAUAACUGACUGAGUUUGGAAAGUCUCUCAGGGCUUCCCUUGUGAUCACCACAGAUAAGGUCAGCGGAUGAGCAAGACAGAAGUCUGGAGUCAUGGUGCACAUCUUCCAGGGUUGCUGUGAGCAUGGGCAUGGGUUAAGGUCCAGUCCCUGCUCGGGUGCGAGGGACGGGCAUCACAGCUGCUGUUUCUACAACCUCUCAGCCCUCACAUAUUUUCUCCGUAACUGACUCUGCCUAUCUCCUCCCUCCUGAGCCUCACUUCUAUAGCUAAUUGCAACCCCACCCACCCUUGCUCGGCCCUUAAUCACGUGGGCCUGUUCUUUCCCCAUCUUACCAGGUGGCGAAGCCGCUGUCAGUGGAUACGUCCGUCUGUCCACCCUCCCGACUGCUCAUGGCCUCUCCGUAGGGCUGCCUGGCGACCCUACUGCAUGUUCACAAUUCAUUCACUGCCCCGCUGUCCUCGCCAGCUAUUUCAUGCCUUCUCCUCACUCAUGCUGAGCGCACGCCUGGCUUCCAGCGUGGCUGAGGGGCGGGCGCACUCGUGCCAACUGCACGUGGCCCACCUCCUUGCACGGCCGCCGCGUCUGCUGCUCUCCUCCUGGGCCACCCUGGCAAGACCAGCUCUAGUGUUUUUAGAAAUUUAAGUCAGAUUGUAUCACUAUUUGCUGAAGAACUUAGCAUCAUAUUUAGAGAAAUGGUCGAAGUCCUUACAACAGCACCCAAGACCCAUCGAACGUGAAAGACAGUACCUCUGGGCUGGCGAAUCCUCCCAGGGUCUGCACUCUGCUUCCAGGCCUUUACUCGUUGUCACUGUCGCCUGUCACUCAGGACGGGCCAGGUCAUGCCGCAGCAGCAAGCAGGUCCGGAGCGUCAGGAGUUUGGACCGAGUCCCGCACAGGUCCAGUUCUGCUCUCCUUGACAUCAUGGCGAAAGCUGCUGUCCGGCAUCACCACGGCGACGGCGGAAGAGCACAGUCGCUUGCCCGCUCCCGACUUUGGCCAAGCGGAGUCCAUCACUCCCCCACACCCCGACGGCACAGCCCGGCCCUGCCGCUCUAAUCCCGAGUUAGCCCUGGGCAGAAAGACAGGAAGGGUGCUGCACUGUGACGGCCACACGGCCCUAACUGGAGGCUGCUCAGCCAUGCUGUCCAUCCACAGGCUUCCCCACCGCCGUCCAGGGCCUUGGCUUCGUGCCUCUCAUGUCCCGCAUUCACUCUACCCUCAGUCGCCGUCUCCGUGCGGUACAGAUGCACCGUGCUCCUGCUCUUCCCAUUUGUUCUGCACCCUUCGCUGUUAGGAUGUGAACUCCAGGGCCCAGGGCUGCGCCUCUCCUCCAGUGCUAUGUGCUCAGCGCCUACAGCAGUGACUGCCACACGGAGGCUACAGCCGGACGGUGCCUGCUGACUGGGAGAACGGAUGGCGAGGACGCACAGUAAUCCACGUGCAGUGUGCCACGGGGCAGUUGACCAGGCUGGGAUUUGGCUGGAACCAACGCUAAUCCGACUCGUUCGAGAGAGUUUCUAGUGCAGGCCUCUCGUGCCGGCUCCGAACCUCGAGGUGCCCAUCCGGUCCCCAAACAUACCAGACACCAGGCACGUGCUCUCUGGCACUUUUCCAGCAGGAGCAGAAGCUGCUUGGCUUCCAUGGAGAUGAGUUAUAAUCCAUCUUUGGCUGAGAUCCUGCUGAGAUCAAGGUGGUUUCCCAUCCAGAAGGACGAGAGGUCUCACGCAGAAGUGCAUUUUCCGGCUCCCCUACCUGAAACCUUGCCAGUCAUCCAGCAUACAUUGCCCCAGGAAGCAGCGUUCCCACAGCACGGAAGCCUCAGCACCGUUACUGGACACAUUUUCCUCAGCUCCAGGUCAGCCUGUCUGAGUCCUGGGCUUCAUCAGUGGAACAAACUGCGUGUAUCUCCUCCGUCAUUAAACGGUGCUCCACAGGCUCCGCCUUCCUCAAAAGGUCGUGUGGAAAUUGUUACCCAGCACAGAGGCAGCCGUCCUGGGGUGGGUUGUGGGUGACCCCCAACUUCUUAAGGCAAAUGAGCAUGUAAAUGUCUAACUCAAGGCCACCUGGCCUCUCCACCGAGAAACACCAUUGCUGAGCGAUUUCCCCGUUUACUCAGUGACUUCCUGAUGCAUUGUGAGACAAGGUCUGCUGUGUUGCCCUGGCUGACCUCAAACUCUUGACCCUCCUGCCUCCAUCUUCCGAGCAGCCAGGUGUGUGUGUGUCCCUGGGCCUAACUUACCAGGAUUGUUUUACACCAUGUCCAGGUGUGGAAAAGUUUUGAGGGGGCAGUGAGUAAUCUGCACAAAAUGACACAGCCUCCUAGGAGAAUUCCAGGAGAAACUCCAGAGUGUUGUCUUCCCCUUGCCUGGUUGUUUUCCUGUGCUUCUGAGCCCGUUUUUGUAGCUUCCUGCUGCCUAUGGGGAAUGCUCUCCACUGCCUGGCGCCCGCUGUGGACCCUACCAUUCUCCACCCACACCCCAUGGGUCCUCUGUGUGUCCCCCAGGCUCUGCUGCUUUUAGCCACGAGCCACACUGCCAGCUCCUCUUCCCUCAGGCCUUGAUGUCCAUGCCUCUGACACCAGCAGCCCCCGUGCAGGCUCAGACCCACAUGCCCAGCCUGGGCGGCCCAGUCUGUGACAGUCCUGGCCGCGAGGAAGGACAGGGCAGCCCAAGAAAACCUCUUCUGACUGACCCAGUCCCUGCUGCUGCCCACCUGUCACCAACCCUCCUGUCCUGUCUGCUUGAGUCCAUUCAUGCGGUGCUGCACAUCACGGCAGGUAAACCUCACAUUCUCACUGUCGAACUGGUUUCUUAAGUGCCGAUGUGGGUACCUAUCAUCUUAGCUUGCUCUCUGAGUCGUGGCCCUUCUCGGCUGUGGUGCUGUCUGUGUCCUGUUAUCCAGUGCCACACACAUCUCUAAAAUUGGGCCACAAGGCUGGCGCAAGAAGAUCCAUGUGAGAGUUUGCUGACACCGGGCAUUUUCAUAGAAUUCCCUAUAUCUAAGUCAAGUCACUUAAUUAAAAACAGUAAUGAAUUUUAAGUGGUAUUCUGUGUUUUUAGUGAACUCAGCCAGUUCCUUGUAGUCACUGACUUUUUUCCUACAAAAGAUGUUUUAGUAAUCAAUUCUAAAAUUUCUUGGAAAGUUUUCUAAGUCUUAGAAGGGGACACACACACUCCUGGAUGGGGCUCGAGGGCAGGAGAGCAGGAUCCUGCCGCCUUCCGGGUCUUCGUCCUCUCGCCCUCUCUGGUGUUUCCUGAGAGAAUCUGAGGAGUAGUAAAGCAGAGCACAGCACCGCGGAUCCCCAGGCACCCGGGGGCCACCCAGCUGGAACAGUGAGCGACCCCGGCGUCUGCCUCACUGGUGCCCUGUCUCCUUUCACUCCCUCCGCCCUACAUGGCUUUGAAGCAAAUCCCAGACCUCGUAUCAUCUCGUUCUGGAACACUUCAUGCAUGGCAAAAACUAAAAGCUACUUUUAUGUGGCUCUUCUGUUACAGCCCAAGUCAGUCACUAAAUAUUAAUAACUUUUCCUCAUAAAAAUUAAAAAUGGAGAAAAGCUGAAGGCAAAAUAUGAAGAUCACCCACCGCUUGAUUUUCUAGGAAGAGCGACUGCUGUGGCCUGGGUAUUUUGGUCUCCCCAGAAGUCCUGUGCUGAGCCUGGCUCCCAUUUGGAGGGCCCCUGGGAGCGACUGGGCUGUGAGGCAGGGCCCUGGGGAACAGGAAGUGCGACUCUGCCCCCAGCCCUGGGGUCCGCGCCUGCUGGUUGUGAGCACCUCAUCCUGGCAUUCUGUGCAGCCCUAAGAAGGUAGCUUGCGAACUGUGUCCACCUGCUCAGGCGUUGUGCAGCGAUGGAUCCUCCUUUUCUGGAUUAAUUUUCUGCUUGGGAAGCUGAGGCUAGUUUUAUUUAAAGAAACGCACCAGUAAAUCCAGCUGACCCGCUGAAAUCCAGCUGAAGAGCCGAAGCUCCUCAAGGCUGCAGUGUGGGAGAUGAUCACAAACUGGUGUGAAGAGAGACGGAGACUCAGUCAUUUCUCACGCUGAAGGGCAGCAAGCAAGAUGAGGCCAGACAGGCGUUCGCCUUGGGCCAAGCGGCUUCCAGAGCUCAUGGCAGUGGAUGACCCAAGGUGUCGACAGUGAUUUCUCCGAAUUUGCAGAGCUCUGCUCCCAGGAGGAGGCAGCAGCGGUGGUGGGACCAGGUGUGUGAGCCCAGCACCACCCAGCACUCGCCCCUGGGCUUCAGCUACCUGCAGACCAGAUGGACGGGCAGCCAGAGAGAGAGCAGCACAGGAGGAGGCGCCCUGAGGGAGCACAGAGGACGUCUCCAUCUGGGCAGAGGGGGGCAUGGAAGAGCCACGCACGCCCGGCCACACAUGUCAGAGUGCCUGCUACUCACUGGCCUCUUCCCGGAGCUGGGAUUCGCUGGUGCAAAUCCGAUGCCUGGUCAGGCUGGCGUCCAGCGUGUUCCAGUUGCUAUGAAAACCAUGGCUGCAUGGAGAAUGAGACCCACGACUUACAGACAUCGGGGUCACCUCGGGCUCCACCAGGUCUGGCUGGUUCUCUGCAGUGACAGCCGUGACCAGGCACCCACGCCCGUCACCCUUGCUGUGCAUAGACUGCGACCGUCUUCAUCCAGUGGGGCUGGGCUCCCUUGUUUGGCUUUGGUUUUGGUUUACCUUGAAGCCACUGUGGUGACCAUGCAGCCUGUGUGCUGAGACUGUGGCCCUGCACUGUGCCCUUCCUCCUCCUGUGACCGCAGCCCCGUCCUUAGACUGAGCCCGGUGCCACCCUCCUCCAGAGCCACGCAGCAGGGUGGGGUGCAGCCGGUGAGGCCGGGUCUUCAGAGGACACAGGUGUGGCUGCCCAGUGAGCCCACAGGUCAUGCUGGGCAGGCUGUGCCAGCCCGGACCCUGAGCUGGGCAAAGCUGCAGCAAUGGACCCUCUUGCUGUUUGUGGUGCUGAGGACGGACCUAGGCCUAGAUGUUCUGGGCACUCACGGAACCAGGCCAGGAUGAUUAUGGACCUAUCUGGUACCUGCAGACGCGCUGCCGAGGGAGCCGGCUCUCCCCAGGCCUGAGCUGUGCAGACUGCACUUCGGUGAAGCCGUGAGGAGGACAGUGGCCGAGGCACCCUGAGCCCGGGAAGCCGUCUGUCCCGCCAUCACGUCCACAGAGCAAAGGGAUCAGGACUCACAGGACUGAUUUCAACAUCACGCUAAUCUUCACGACAAUUAACCCAGCUACUUGACCAGGACUUCAGGAGGGGC